CAGAGUUGUUUUAGUAUGGCACUCGUUUCCUCCAGAUGUGAUUUUAGCAAUGACCAAAAUCACUCUGAAAUAAAUUAAGACAGUCUUUUAAGUUUGGCUUCCUCCAGAAGCACAUUCUGAGAUAAGGAUUCAAGAGCAAGAGGUUUUAUUGGGAAAGUAAUUCCAGGAAAAACUGAAGCAUGGGGGUAGGGAAACUGCUAAAACAUGGAUUGUAAAAUAAAUUACCCCUGAAGGCACACACUCACUGGAAAGCUUGUGAAAAUGGCAUGGACUAUGCCUCAUUGAUACCCCACAUGAGGGGCAAGGAGGGUCAGAGAAGAAGGCCAAUAGGAGGCAGGGACAGGGUCCAUGACAGAUGAUGACAUUGGGAUGAACGCACUGAUUUUAGGAAAAUACUUCUGAGAUUAGAAUUAAUUUGGAAGGGCAAGAGGAAAUCCUGUGUAUAGGAAGAUAAAGCAGAGGGAGCCAAAAAGAUAUCCCAGGGAUGGGAAAACUUUUGAUACAUUAAUUCUCAAGUGAAGCAGGGUACUUGGGUUAAUAAUGACCUUCCAUCAUUAUUAAUUGUUACGUAUCCUCAGAAUGAUCACUCUCCAUGUGGGUUUUCCAGGCAUUGGUCUUUGUUUCUUCCUGUUGGCUGGCUUCUAUUUGACUAUGUCCCUGAUGACUCUCAGGGGUAGAAAAGCACAGAAGGGGGAGGGGGGAGAAAGAAGAGGAAGACAAUUGGAGUUCCUAUUGUGGCGCAGUGGAAACGAAUCUGACUAGCUAGUAUCCGUGAGGAUUUGGGUUCAAUCCCUGGCCUCUCUCAGUGGGUUAAGGAGCCAGCAUUUCCAUGAACUGUGGUGUAGGUCACAGAUGUGGCUUGAAUCCCAUGUUGCUGUGGCUGUGGUGUAGGCCAGCAGCCAAGCUCAGAUUCCACCAUCCCUAGCCUGGGAACUUCUAUAUGCCAUGGGUGUGGCCCCUAAAAAAAAAAAAAAAAAGAAUAUUAAAAGGGAAGAGAGAAGCAAAACACAAUGUAAAUUAUGUAACCUAGAUCAGAAGUUUUGGAAAGUGAAUCUAUGGAUCACUGCUAAACUGUGAUAACUUUUUCUCCUCCUAGUCCACAAAGGAAAGAGAAAUUAAAUAGCAGUGAUGUCAAGUGUUGAUAAAGCUUAAUCUAUGACUUAAUCUACUUAAAGAGUAUAUCUUUCAAAAAUUUUGAUCUUAAAAUUUUCUUUUAUGCAACAAUAGUGGUAAUAGAUGAAUAUUUUAAAAAAUACUCUUUCAAAGCAAAAUGAAGAAUUAGAACCCUCAUGCUCUCAACUUUAAAAAGGUGAACAUAUUUUGCCAGCAUGAGAAACCCAGGGUCCUGGAACCAUUAGCCUCACCCACUGAGGUAUUCCUUACACCAUUCAAGGUGCAGCAAACCAAUGAUAAUGACUAGAGGUCACUCCUUAGCAAGGUUGCAUUUGAAAGAUGGAUGGGAUAUUCACGUGGAUUAGAACACAGGCUGGGACUAGAGAUUGGGUCUAUCAGCAUGGUCACUUGCUGAGCAUUAGAAAUUUUAUGGGUUACUCAAACCUAUGGGUCUCAAUAUACUCAUCUAUAGAAUGGGCAAUGUAGUGUUAGCACCUACCUCAACAGGUUGAUGCAAAAAGACACAUAGUAAUAGGACAAGGUCUGCCAUUACUAAGGAAACAAUAAAUGCUACUAGUUACGGUGAAAUAUAGGUUCUAUCGUGAAUUAGAUGAAACACACUUUAAUAUAGCUGGAAAUUUCCCAAAUUGAGUUUCUAAAACAAUGCUUUCUAAUUAAAUUACUUGGUCUGUAUGUAUUACAACAGGUGAAGAAGUAUUUUCUAAAUAAAUAAAGUAGUCAGGAGUUCCCGUCAUGGCUCAGUGGUUAACAAACCCGCCUAGGAACCAUGAGGUUUCGGGUUCAAUCCCUGGCCUUGCUCAGUGGGUUAAGGAUCCGGCGUUGCCGUGACCUGUGGUGUAGGUCACAGAGGCAGCUCAGGUUCCGAUCCCUCGUUGCUGUGUCUGUGGCAUAGGCCAUUAGCUAUAGCUCAGAUUAGACCCCUAGCCUGGGAACCGCCAUAUGCCUCGGGAGCGGCCCUAGAAAAGGCAAAAAGACAAAUAAACAAAUAAAUAAAGUAGUCAAAGAACUUAACAUAAUUUUAGGCACAAAUGACAGAUAUACUACUCACGGUAGGUAAUAACUUUUCACAUUCUCACAUUAUUUUAAUGAAUAUUCAGAUGGACUCUACCACAAAGAAUUUAUUUGUAUGAAAGCGUUUGUAAAGUUUUUAAGCUUUAGCACUAGUUCUUGACAACUUUUUAUUCACAUUCUUAUCAAACAUUUCUUAUUAUAAUUGGAUAAUUGGUAUGGAAAACAACGACAUUUUCUUUUUAAUUAAGACACCCUUUGGAACUGUGUAAUUGGCUACAGGAGUAACUAUAUCAUAAAUAUUCUAAUAUAUCACAGCAACUGCAUUAUAAAAUAAUAAAGCAAAGGAACUCAUUUUCUGCUUUUUAAGUUUUUUCCUAAAGUUUUAAUAUCAUUUUAAGAGACAAAGAAGUGCAUGAGGAAAGACUUAGGAGAUGACAUGGGUUCUAUUAUGCCAUGGGCAUAAAUGUGGAUGAGUGUCUAUAAGAGACAUAGAGUAAGAAGACAGCAUCUUCAUGGAGAGAAAAAUGGGAGUUGGACAGAUGGGCAAACUGCCUUUGGGGGGCAGAGUUCUUUCCAAAUAUGAAAGCAGCCUGGUGAACAAAGGAAAAGAACUUUUGUCUGAACUCAGCACCUGAUAUAAUAAAUGCUGACUCUUGCCCUGUUACCAUAGAGGAAUCUUGGCUAAGACAGCAGUGAGAGUGAUGGGAGGAGGAAGGCAAGCCGGAUUUAAGAUACAUUAGCUUCUUAUCUCCUAAUGGACAGACUAAAAUUUGAUUUUAAAUCCAAGCAAAAUCUCAUUAGCUGAGCUCAGCAGAACUACUGAGAGACAGUUAUCAUCCAUCCCUAAUCGCUUCUCAAGUGGUCACUUGGCUGGACUUUUACAAGUCAGCUGCUUUCCAGACUCCCUGGAGGAGGUGGCUGGAAUACCUGGAGACAGCUUUGCUGCAGUUAGCUUCUCUUUCUCCUGCGAGAAAACAAAGCCACCCACAGCUGCUUGUGAUGUCUGCAUAAUAUAUUGGGAAAUGCAGCUCAUAAGUAUAGUUUUCAAAGUUUCAUCCACUCACUGCAUAUGGAAGUUCCCAGUCUGACGAAACACACUUCUGUCUUUAUGUCACCAGAUCGGUCAACCAGACCUACACCGGUGUUCUAGCCAAGGCCAAGACGCCCUGUCUCAGCCAGGGAGGUUAUUUUUCCAAAAGGAUUUGAGAGCCAGUAACAAAUUGGAUGCUGAGACACACAAGGUUUAUUUGAUGGUCAAAGAAUGGAGAAGCAAAGAAUGGAGAAGCAGGAACCUAGCUCAAGGUCUACUGGAAGUCAAAUUCUCUGUCUUCUUGGGCCUAUUUAGUUCUAACUGGUUCUUAUUUUUUUCUCUUUGCAGUUUCUUCCUGAAACAGAUAAGAGUAAUUCAUUUGUUUGAGAAAGGGGCAGGGGUAAGAUUCUGGGGCAACAGCUUUGGUAACAUUUAUUCCUGUUAAGGAAUUUAGAAACUGAUUUGACAAGUCCCCAAAUGAGCCCUCUCCUCAUUACAGGAGUUAAAUUUAUCUAUCUAUCUAUCUAUCUAUCUAUCUAUCUAUCUAUCUAUCUAUCUAGGGCCACACUCACUGCAUAUGGAAGUUCCCAGUCUAGGGUUUGAAUGGGAGCUGAGCUGCAGAUGUCGGCCUACCCCACAGCCACAGCAACACCAGAUCUAAGCUGGAUCCUUAACCCACCCAGCAGGGCCAGGGAUUGAAUCCACAUCCUCAUGGAUACUAGUCGGUUUUGUUACCAGUGAACCACAACAGGAACUCCUACUGGGGUUAAACUGAUAGCAUCUAAGUGUCUACGCUGGAUGGUUAAUUCUGGAUCCAGAUGGUUUUAUAUAUUUAACUCAACAUGACUAACUUAUUUCACUAGGAACACCAUUUGCAUCAUUUUUUCCAACUUGCUAAAUCCCUGCUAUGUGCAAAAGAUCUCUUUUAUGGGCUCUGAGAAGAAUGCCAAUGAAGUACAAUGCACAGUCCACACACAUAUGAAAAUAUGCUGAUGGAACAGGGAUAUUUGAUUUGGUAAAUCCACCCUGAGAGGUACAUUUACAGAUCUCGAAAAAUGGUGAUUAAAAUUGGGGCUUGCAAAAACAACUGAACUUAAUACUGGGUGGAUCCUAAGAUGAAAGCACUGAAUGUGCAUUCUAAAAAGAUGAUCUGCAAAAAUAUAAUUUGCAGAACUCAGCAGUUUCAACCAAAGAGUGAAUAUUACGAUAUGGACUGAAAAUUAGAAAAUUGGAGGUAAAUAAAAUUUUCUUUUACAUGUUUUUCAGUCAUUGCUUUAUGGCCACCAAAUAUGUGUGAAGCUGAGUCACAAAGCUGAGUGCAAGACUGGGUCUGCAGGCAGUGUUUCUAGGUCUGCAGAUUCCAUCAAAUAAAUCAAAUCUAAAAUUCCCAGGUUGGUAUUGCCAUGAUGAUUAAUAAAGGUUAUAUAAGAUAACAUCUCACUUUCUCUAUCUCUCUCGCUCUCUUUUCUAUAUCAUGCUGAUACUAGUUCCAGAAUUUAAAACGUUAGGCUCUUGGGUAUACACAUGCCAGAGAGUUUCAGAAGUGCAAUAACACCUGAGCAUAGGCUAAUUGGGGAAGUGAAAACCCCUACCAUUUUUCUCACUGCCUUGUAGUAAGAGAGGAACUAAAGCAGAUCCUACAAUUUCCCUGUUAUAGGUGGUGUAGACCUGACCAGAUUUCAGUCUGGCCCUGCCCUCCCUCUGACCUCACUUCCUCCUGCUCCUGUGCAAACUCCCUAUGCCUCUGCCCAAAUAAAAAAUCAAAAAGUUCUCUCUGAGGUCAUUUAGUGGUGGCCCUAGAUACUUCUCUAUAUCAUAUGUCUACUCUUCUAAGUCCAGCUUAUCUAUUUUACCUUUUGGCAAGAUUUCCCUCUCUGUUCCCAGGCAGUAGACUCCCAGAUACUCCCCUUUGUGCCGUCACCAUACUCAGGUAGACUCUAGUAGGUACAAUUCCACAUGGUCCGUGGGUGCUCAAAGGAUGUUUAUUGUUGGAAUAAGUGGGAUAAAAGAAGACAGUUAUUUGAAACCAAGGAUCUUCAAGUCCAUCCCAGAUUUCUCACUCCACUGGUCUUUUGGAUUUCUGUUUUUUCAGUGGAGAGUGUAGCCACUUCUGGCAUGCUUUCCAUCCACAGUGCAUAAGUUAUGAACACUGGAACUAAUAGCAGCAUAGAAUGGAAAGAAGAGAUGCCACAUCUGCCUGUUUGUUGGUCCUCACCUGCAACACCAAACCUGAAGCAAUUAGCAUGUCAUGAGGAAUCAAAGGAGCUGUAUAUGCAAACCCCAUUUUGCUCUCGGCUUCCUUGGUCGACUCCAGACUUCAUGCCUGUUGGAGGAUUUUAGGGAGUAGCAAGUGGAAAACCUUUUAAUUCAGAGUGAAUUUUGUCCCCUCUAAUUUUCUGAUUGGCAAUUGACAUCAUAAUAUUUACUCUUUGGUUGAAACUGCUGAGUUCUACAAAUUUUCACAUUGACUUAAGAAGUCUGCUUGGCGUGUUUCCCCAGAACAUAGCGAUCCAUAAAAUGCUGGCUGUCUUGUAUAACUAUAAAGUAAAUGUAUAAUUAUUUGCUGAGGCAACUAAGCCAAAUACCAAGAAAAGUACAGAGCCAGAAAACUGCGAUUUACGGCUAUAUUGGAUAUCUCUGUGAACCAUGGAUUUUCUUCCAAAAUUUAGGUGCUAUGAAAGCAAUUUACCAAUUUUACCACCAGGUAUUCAAGGAAGCCUCAGUAGUAAAUGAAAUGAAAGCAAGCAGAAUAAAGUUUCAAAAGUAAUAGCAAAACUGGAGUUGCAUUUCCCAUCAAAGGCUCAGCAUUGAGUAACUCUAAAGACCAUCAAAAUUAGUGGUAACAGAAAACACAUAACAACAAAUAAUUUAAAAUAGUGAAAUUAUAUUUUAGGCUCAGUUGCCGUAAAUGUCAGAUAACCAGUUAUCUACAAGUGCCUCCAUGGGGCUAGUAACUGCAGGGAAAAUAUUUCAAUGGGUCUUCAACAGUGUGAAGCAGCAGAAGUUAUGCUUAUUGAAAUCUUCCCCUCAGAACACCCAUAGGCAAACCUGAACAAAACACUCUUAUUUA
rnacentral:lncRNA from 1 species